rnacentral:rRNA from 3 species
CAAACGACUCUCGGCAACGGAUAUCUCGGCUCACGCAUCGAUGAAGAACGUAGCAAAAUGCGAUACUUGGUGUGAAUUGCAGAAUCCCGUGAACCAUCGAGUUUUUGAACGCAAGUUGCGCCCGAAGCCAUUUGGUCGAGGGCACGUCUGCCUGGGCGUCACGC